GACGAACGCUGGCGGCGUGCUUAACACAUGCAAGUCGAACGGAAGGGCCCUGCUUUUGUGGGGUGCUCGAGUGGCGAACGGGUGAGUAACACGUGAGUAACCUGCCCUUGACUUUGGGAUAACUUCAGGAAACUGGGGCUAAUACCGGAUAGGAGCUCCUGCUGCAUGGUGGGGGUUGGAAAGUUUCGGCGGUUGGGGAUGGACUCGCGGCUUAUCAGCUUGUUGGUGGGGUAGUGGCUUACCAAGGCUUUGACGGGUAGCCGGCCUGAGAGGGUGACCGGACACAUUGGGACUGGGAUACGGCCCAGACUCCUACGGGAGGCAGCAGUGGGGAAUAUUGCACAAUGGGCGGAAGCCUGAUGCAGCAACGCCGCGUGCGGGAUGACGGCCUUCGGGUUGUAAACCGCUUUCGCCUGUGACGAAGCGUGAGUGACGGUAAUGGGUAAAGAAGCACCGGCUAACUACGUG
rnacentral:rRNA from 1 species